AGAGUUUGAUCCUGGCUCAGAAUCAACGCUGGCGGCGUGCCUAACACAUGCAAGUCGCACGAGAAAGGGUAGCAAUACCUGAGUACAGUGGCGCACGGGUGAGUAACACGUGACUAACCUACCCUCGAGUGGGGAAUAACCUAGGGAAACCUGGGCUAAUACCGCAUAACACUUACGAGUCAAAGCAGCAAUGCGCUUGGGGAGGGGGUCGCGGCCGAUUAGCUAGUUGGCGGGGUAAUGGCCCACCAAGGCAAUGAUCGGUAUCCGGCCUGAGAGGGCGCACGGACACACUGGAACUGAAACACGGUCCAGACUCCUACGGGAGGCGAC
rnacentral:rRNA from 1 species